UACGUAGGUGGCAAGCGUUGUCCGGAUUUACUGGGCGUAAAGAGCGCGCAGGCGGUCGAUCAAGUCGCGUGUGAAAGCCCCCGGCUCAACUGGGGAGGGUCACGCGAUACUGAUCGACUCGAAGGCAGGAGAGGGUAGUGGAAUUCCCGGUGUAGUGGUGAAAUACGUAGAUAUCGGGAGGAACACCAGUGGCGAAGGCGACUACCUGGCCUGUUCUUGACGCUGAGGCGCGAAAGCUAGGGGAGCAAACGGG
rnacentral:rRNA from 1 species